rnacentral:lncRNA from 1 species
GAACAUUUAUCAUGAUAAUACUACACCAAAGAAAGCAAUUAAACCCAUACUUCCAUAUUCCGACAUGUCAGUGCCCUUCGGACUUGUCCUAAGGCAUAGAUAUAUCUAACAUUUGUGGAUUUCUCCACCAUAAUCAUAACAUUUGUGGAUUUCUCCACCAUUAACAUACUUUGGUUUUUCAUGCAUAACUUAAGCAUAAAUAUUACCAUGAAAAUC